rnacentral:rRNA from 1 species
UCACACUAUGGCAUCAUAGAAUGAUCAAAUAUUUAUAGGAUAUGGAUGGGCAUGCGGAACAUUAGCUAGUUGGCGAGGUAACGGCUCACCAAGGCUACGAUGUUUAGGGGAUCUGAGAGGAUGACCCCCCACACUGGUACUGAGACACGGACCAGACUCCUACGGGAGGCAGCAGUAAGGAAUAUUGGUCAAUGGGCGGAAGCCUGAACCAGCCAUGCCGCGUGCAGGAAGACGGCCCUACGGGUUGUAAACUGCUUUUGCAGGGGAAUAAACCCUCAUAUGUAUAUGAGGUUGAAUGUACUCUGAGAAUAAGGAUCGGCUAACUCCGUGCCAGCAGCCGCGGUAAUACGGAGGAUCCGAGCGUUAUCCGGAUUUAUUGGGUUUAAAGGGUGCGUAGGCGGCCUUGUAAGUCAGGGGUGAAAGACGGUAGCUUAACUAUCGCAGUGCCUUUGAUACUGCAGGGCUUGAAUGUACUUGAGGUAGGCGGAAUGUGACAAGUAGCGGUGAAAUGCAUAGAUAUGUCACAGAACACCAAUUGCGAAGGCAGC